GGUCGUGUAGUACAGUGGUUAGUACGUUUGUCUUACAAUGAGUAAAAGCUCAAGUGAUCACAAAAGGUCGCAGGUUCGAUCCCUGCCACGAUCA